UAUAAAUCAGUUUAUUUACAGAUUUUGUUCUCUUAAAGUACAUUUCCGUUACCAAAGAUAUUUACACUGGUGUACACAGGGACCACCCUGGUUAUUUUACAGUUCUUAAUUACAAAAAAAACCAAACCCCAAAACCUCCACAUCCUUGGGUCUGUCUACUGUGCAAAGCUGCUCUGGAUGUGAACAUUAGCUGAAACUGGCCCAAAAACCAGGUUACCCAGUUAUUUACACAUACACAGUAAACGGGUUUCUUUUCAGCAUCUCCACAACACAGUACACGGGGAGACGGAGCCUCCCAAAAGGCGGCUUUGCAAAUGUAUAUCAAAAGGCUCUGCAAAGUCAAGGAAAAAACUAGUAAAUGCAAGUUAAUUACAGUAUUCCUCUUUCAUCUGUAUAUAUUUUUGCAUUUAAUGUUUAAAUUACAAAUAAGUUCAAUAGUUUGCUUUUCUCCAUUUUAGUUGAUUUGUAAACACUUCAGAUGCACUAAAUACCUUAUAAGAUUCAACUGUUUCUCUGCUGUAAAGUACUUUAUUUUCCUAAUAUUCUUAAGGUAGCAAAGGGAUAUGAAAGUCAGAACUGCAUGCAGUUCCUCGCAGAAUAGUCACUUAAAAGGUCUCUAUCACUGUGCUACUGAAGAUCUUCUGCAGGUACACACUUAUUCAAGUAUUGCAAAAAGCUAAGGCCACUUUUUCAAGAAAGGAAAGUGAACAAGAUGGGAUUUUUCAAUCCCUUGUUCCACCUUGUGAGCAACAAGCCUUUUCUGAAAGGCAGAAGUACUGAUAUUCCACAGUUCGGCUCAGGGAGCGUCCUGCUGCGAGAGAGGUACUCGCGCUCCUUGUCCUCACAAGCCUGGGCUUUCCCACCUGGCACCGAGAUCCUCCCGAAGAGAGAACUGCAUCUCCCCAGGGAUGACAGUCACUGCCCCAAAACAGCUUACAGGUCUCAGAAAAAUGUCUCAGCCUUCAAUCUUCUAACGUGGUUGCACCAAGAUAACCAGGACCCAGAAAUAUCAUCUUGUUCUUAUAAUGGGAAGGUUGGAGAGAGGAGAGAAAUAGAGAAUUCAGCCUCUGUUUGUGAGACUCCAGGCUUCCCCAUUCCUCCUCGUUACCAGCCACGACCCAGACAGACCAUUGCUUCAUCGCGGUAAUCAUCAGUCCACAAGUACUCAACACACUCGAGGUUUUGAGUAUACACUCAACUCAAAGUAACUCAACACACUUGAGGUAUUGAGAAGAUAAUUAACAUACUUUCAAGUCUUUUUAGAGUUGCUCCUAACAAGGAUUGCUACCAAAACUAAAACGGUGAUGUUUGCAAAGGAAUAAAGCCAUUACUUAGACACAGCUUCCUUCUGCCCAAACAGCUGUAGAAAUAGUUACUACUUCUAUCGAGGGUACUAAACUAGUGCUAUCCAAGCCAGCAAGACAACAGGCAUACGAUCUCCAAUGGUCCCCAGUACCUUGGCAGGCCAACUGUACAACCUUCUCCCUGCUGGUGGACAGACCAGAAAAGCCAUGCCAGCCCUUUUCAGAACAGCUGAAAAGCCUCGGGGAUGCAGGGCAACCUUCUCAACACUGGCCAUGGUAUCUACAGAGCAGAAACUAACUUCUUUUCUCCGAUACUCCAGCCACAAACCUACGCUGCAGGUUUCUGCCUUCUUUCCGUAAUUGCUACCUAUAAAAAUAGCAAUCCUCACUACUGAAGAAGAUACACCCAGGAAAGGAAAUCUGAGGCGGUGACCCAAUUAGUGACACCACGCUGGUUAAACGCAGCAGCUUUAGUUUGCUUCUGUCUUAAGCAUUUGAGAGUUUCCUGGUUCAGCAUCAGGACCUUUUAGGUAGACAAGUGAAUCACUGAGGAAAAAAAGCUGAACGAUGCUCCACCAAGACCAUCCGACUUCCAGCCAGCCAGAAGGGCCACUACUGCAGGACAGACAUGCAUAUGCCUGUUGGAGGUCUUCCUAUACACCAUGACCUCCUCCUUGUUCUUCCACUUGUUAAGCUCCCAUGAAUAUGGCUCACCAUUAACUCACAAGUGAAGUGCUGGCAAUACUACAUCUGAGAAUUUGCAUGGACCUCUGGACAAAUCCAACAUUUCCCAGUGCUGUCCCUGAAGAAUCACCAGCUGUGUGUCAUUGUGCAAAAUGCAAAUAUUCCAAUGAUAGCUUUCCAAAAAAAAAAAAGGUGGAAAAGA